UCGCGUCUUACGACGGCAGUUUCUUUAGAGUUCCCAGCUUAACCUGUUGGCAACUAGUGAUGGGGGUUGCGCUCGUCGCGGGACUUAACCCAACACCUCACGGCACGAGCUGACGACAGCCAUGCAGCACCUUAUCACGCGCCCAUUGCUGGGAAGGGAGCUUUCACCCCCGGUCGCGUGACAUUCUAGCCCAGGUAAGGUUCCUCGCGUAUCAUCGAAUUAAACCACACGCUCCGCUGCUUGUGCGGGCCCCCGCCUAUUCCUUUGAGUUUUAACCUUGCGGCCGUAGUCCCCAGGCGGUGAACUUAAUGCGUUAGCUGCGGCACUGAUCGGGUCAAUCCGACCAACACCUAGUUCACAACGUUUAGGGCGUGGACUAC
rnacentral:misc_RNA from 1 species